rnacentral:rRNA from 1 species
AUAAUUAAUAGUAUAAUCUGCUCAAUGAAAUUAAAUAGCCGCAAUUCUGUGCUAAGGUAGCAUAAUCAUUUGUCUUUUAAUUGAAGACUAGAACAAAAGAUUGAACAUUUUAAUUUAUUUAUUUUUUAAAAUAAUAAAAAUUAUUUUAAAUGUAAAAAAACAUUUAUUAAAAAGAAAGACGACAAGACCCUAUUGAACUUAACUUAAGUUAAACUGGGGCAGUUAGUUAAUUAAUAUUUUAAAUAAAAUAAUUUAAAAAAUGACCUAAUACAAUUAAUUUUAUGAAAAAGUUACCAUAGGGAUAACAGCGUAAUAAUAAUUUAAAGCUCUUAUUAAAAUAAAUUUUUGCGACCUCGAUGUUGAAUUAAUUACCUAAUAAAUAACGCAAUAGUUAAUAAAGGAAGUCUGUUCGACUUUUAAAAAAUUACGUGAUCUGAGUUCA